UUGGCCUACGGGGCGCAGCAGUGAGGAAUAUUGGUCAAUGGUCGGGAGACUGAACCAGCCAAGCCGCGUGAGGGAGGAAGGUACAGAGUAUCGUAAACCUCUUUUGUCAGGGAACAAAGGCGGGGACGUGUCCCCGGAUGAGUGUACCUGAAGAAAAAGCAUCGGCUAACUCCGUGCCAGCAGCCGCGGUAAUACGGAGGAUGCGAGCGUUAUCCGGAUUUAUUGGGUUUAAAGGGUGCGCAGGCGGUCUGUUAAGUCAGCGGUCAAAGCCCGGGGCUCAACCUCGGGUCGCUGUUGAAAGUGGG
rnacentral:rRNA from 1 species